CGUUCUGUAAGCCUGUGAAGGUGUGCUGUGAGGCAUGCUGGAGGUAUCAGAAGUGCGAAUGCUGACAUAAGUAACGAUAAAGCGGGUGAAAAGCCCGCUCGCCGGAAGACCAAGGGUUCCUGUCCAACGUUAAUCGGGGCAGGGUGAGUCGACCCCUAAGGCGAGGCCGAAAGGCGUAGUCGAUGGGAAACAGGUUAAUAUUCCUGUACUUGGUGUUACUGCGAAGGGGGGACGGAGAAGGCUAUGUUGGCCGGGCGACGGUUGUCCCGGUUUAAGCGUGUAGGCUGGUUUUCCAGGCAAAUCCGGAAAAUCAAGGCUGAGGCGUGAUGACGAGGCACUACGGUGCUGAAGCAACAAAUGCCCUGCUUCCAGGAAAAGCCUCUAAGCAUCAGGUAACAUCAAAUCGUACCCCAAACCGACACAGGUGGUCAGGUAGAGAAUACCAAGGCGCUUGAGAGAACUCGGGUGAAGGAACUAGGCAAAAUGG
rnacentral:rRNA from 1 species